rnacentral:rRNA from 1 species
UUUAAAUUAAAAUUAUUUGUCAAUUUACUAUUAGUUAAGUUCUUGAAAAUUAAAGAAUUUGGCGGUAUUUUAGUCUUUUCAGAGGAACCUGUUCUGUAAAUGAUAUUCCACGAUUAAUUAUACUUAAUUUAUUAAUUUGUAUAUCGUUGUUUUAUGAAAAUUUUAAAAGAAAAUUAAUUUUCAAUAUAUUAAUUUUUAUAAUAAUUCAAAUCAAGGUGCAGUUUAUAAUUAAGAAGAAAUGGGUUACAUUAUAUUAUUUUAGGAUAAAUGAUUGAAAAUUAUUUUAAAUUAGGAUUUGAAUGUAAUUAGUUAUAUUUAUUAUUAAUGAUUAAAGCUCUAAAAUAUGU